UGCGUAGGCGGUUAUGAAAGUUAGGAGUGAAAGCCCAGGGCUCAACCUUGGAAUUGCUCUUAAAACUACAUAACUCGAAUUUGGGAGAGGAUAGCGGAAUUGUCAGUGUAGCAGUGAAAUGCGUAGAUAUUGACAGGAACACCAGUGGCGUAAGCGGCUAUCUGGACCAACAUUGACGCUGAGGCACGAAAGCGUGGGGAUCAAACAGGAUUAGAUACCCUGGUAGUCCACGCCGUAAACGAUGUGUGUUUGUCGCUGGGGAGUUUACUCUUCGGUGACGGAGCUAACGCGUUAAGCACACCGCCUGGGAAGUACGGUCGCAAGAUUAAA
rnacentral:rRNA from 1 species